GCAGGAAGAGGGUCGUGUCGCACUGUUGGAGGCUGCGGAGGCAGUGAGUUUGUGGUUGCAGCUUCCUGCUGAGAGGCUUUCUGCAGCGCGGGCGUCCCUGUGCUUCUGAGGCGGGGAAUCGUUCUUGGAAACUGGCCCUGGAGUCUGCCUCUCCAGCCCUUACCGGGAUUUGUGGCCAAGGAACCGUGGCAGGUGAUGGCAUCUGGGUGGAAUAAAGCCCUGCAACUUCUGCAUCCUUCUGCCAUGCUGAUUCCAGAAUGUCGUAUAGUUGGAGUCGUACAGUAUGCAGCCUUUUCAACCUGGCUUCUUUCACUUGUCAGUGUGCAUUCACAAUUCUUCCAGGACACCAACACCCAUGAGAAAAUCUAUAUGGAGAAUAGUUUUCAUCUCAUGUGCCAAUUCGUGUGCUUGAGAAGCGUGCCUUGGAGUCCUGCAGGGAAAAAGACUCUGCGGCUGUAUCUGGCCUCCUUGGAAAGAAAACCUGCCCCGUAAAAGAAGUCUACCAGCAGGCAUGAGUAUGAGGAGCUCGCAGGCCACACAGCCAGGAACCCCGGGUUUUGAGCCCGUCUGCAGACCCCCAGCCGCGGUGGAGCCAGUCUCUGCAUCGCUCCCGCUGGGAAAGCUUCCAGGGUGCAAACAAAGCUUUGCUUUUUCCAUUCCCCCUUCACUGCUGCUAAAGAGCGACUUUCUCUCUUGAGGAAGAAUGAAGAACCCUUUGAGAGCAAAACAGAGAAAACGUUCCUGAGAAAUCCUGAUUACCAAGAGGAGCUUAUUUUCAUAUUUAAAUGUAAGCUAUUCUUCUCAGCUAUUAUCUAUUCUCAUCCCUAGGAGGUGCCAUUAUCUGGAAAGAAAUGCACCUUCCAAUAGCCAGAGAGCUGGAGGUUGGUGUCACUGAUUAUAUUAAAUGUAACCAGAAGGCUUGCUGGGGCUACCAAAGUUUUCAAGAUUCAUUGACUAAAACGCACAAAUAAAAUUGUUACAUAAUUUAUUUCAGAUUUGAUAUCUUAUUCAAAG